rnacentral:rRNA from 1 species
AUUGAACGCUGGCGGCAUGCCUUACACAUGCAAGUCGAACGGUAACAGGUCUUCGGAUGCUGACGAGUGGCGAACGGGUGAGUAAUACAUCGGAACGUGCCUAGUAGUGGGGGAUAACUACUCGAAAGAGUGGCUAAUACCGCAUGAGAUCUACGGAUGAAAGCAGGGGAUCGCAAGACCUUGUGCUACUAGAGCGGCCGAUGGCAGAUUAGGUAGUUGGUGGGAUAAAAGCUUACCAAGCCGACGAUCUGUAGCUGGUCUGAGAGGACGAUCAGCCACGCUGGGACUGAGACACGGCCCAGACUCCUACGGGAGGCAGCAGUGGGGAAUGUUGGACAAUGGGCGAAAGCCUGAUCCAGCAAUGCCGCGUGCAGGAUGAAGGCCUUCGGGUUGUAAACUGCUUUUGUACGGAACGAAAAGACUCCUUCUAAUACAGGGGGUCCAUGACGGUACCGUAAGAAUAAGCACCGGCUAACUACGUGCCAGCCGCCGCGGUAA